rnacentral:rRNA from 1 species
AGACGUCUACAUUAGAUACCCCGGUAGUCCCAGCCCUAAACGAUGCGCGUUAGGUGUAUCGGUGACCACGAGUCACCGAGGUGCCGAAGGGAAACCGUGAAACGUGCCGCCUGGGAAGUACGGUCGUAAGGCUGAAACUUAAAGGAAUUGGCGGGGGAGCACCACAACGGGAGGAGCGUGCGGUUCAAUUGGAUUCAACGCCGGACAACUCACCAGGAGCGACGGUUGCAUGAAGGCCAGGCUGAUGACCUUGCCUGAUUUUCCG